UAGAGUGGCGAACGGGUGAGUAACACGUGACCAACCUGCCUCUUACAUUGGGACAACCAAAAGAAAUUCUGGCUAAUACCAAAUACUCCGCACAUAUCACAUGAUGUAUGCGGGAAAGCUUUUGCGGUAAGAGAUGGGGUCGCGGCCCAUAGGUAGACGGCGGGGUAGAAGCCCACCGUGCCGAUGAUGGGUAGCCGGGUUGAGAGACCGACCGGCCACAUUGGGACUGAGAUACGGCCCAGACUCCUACGGGAGGCAGCAGGU
rnacentral:rRNA from 1 species